GCAACGGGAAGCAGCGCGGCCGUCCUGCCAGCCCCUGCGACUGCAGCCUCAGCAUCAACUCGCGGCGCUCGUUACGACCCAGGCUCAGCUCCGCGACAGGAGGUUGGGUAGCAUCAAAUGCAUCCCGGUUUGGGGAUCCUCGGUUGUCCGGCAUGGUCGCAGAAGAAGGGGGACCCUGAACAGAAAAGAAGCCAGCUUCCAAGAGACCUAUAGCGGCCACUGAAUCUUCUCCCCAGUAAACAGAGCAUCUCACGUGGGGAGUUGAGCAAGGGGUCUGACAUGUAAUAAGGGCCGUCUGUUUUCCAGGGACUCCUUGAAGAAGCAGGCUCUAUGCCUCCUAUCUCUGAGAUCGGGUGGAUACUCACUUGCGGUGGCACUCGGACGAAGAAGCUGAACAGAAUUGACCUGCCGGCCAAGCUACGGCACUAGGAACUUUCAAAUACUAGC